rnacentral:misc_RNA from 1 species
UUAAGUUCAGCGGGUAGUCCUACCUGAUCCGAGGUCAACAUUUCGUAAGUUUGGGGGGUUUUACGGCUUGGACGCGCCGCUCUCCGGUGCGAGUUGUGCAAAACUACUGCGCAGGGGAGGCUGCGGCGAGACCGCCACUGUAUUUCGGGGGCGGCGACGCCAUCAGAGGGCGGAGGCCGGCCCCCAACACCGAUCCCCCG